GACGUAGGGCGCGAGCGUUGUCCGGAUUUAUUGGGCGUAAAGAGCUCGUAGGCGGCUUGUCGCGUCGACCGUGAAAAACUCGCAGCUCAACUGCGAGCCUGCGGUCGAUACGGGCAGGCUAGAGUUCGGUAGGGGGAGACUGGAAUUCCUGGUGUAGCGGUGAAAUGCGCAGAUAUCAGGAGGAACACCGAUGGCGAAGGCAGGUCUCUGGGCCGAUACUGACGCUGAGGAGCGAAAGCGUGGGGGAGCGAGCAGG
rnacentral:rRNA from 1 species